rnacentral:snoRNA from 1 species
CCAUGUGGGUGACUGCUGGGGUCCCCUGAUGGCUUCCCCGGUGCCGUAGUGUACAGUCCUGUCCCACAACAUUGGAGAGGAGCUUGUCCCCGGUCACAAGACUGCUGCGGACAUGUUGUGUGUGCGCCUUAUCUUCUCAGUACUUAGUUGCUGAGGAGAAAAACCAUACAGGGCACGAAA